GACGAACGUUGGCGGCGUGCUUAAUACAUGCAAGUCAACUGAAGCAGUGUUAGCAAUAUCGCUGUGGAGGUGGCGCACGGGUGAGUAACACGUAGGUAAUCUGCCUUCAGGUCUGGCAUAACUCCGGGAAACCGGGGCUAAUAGCAGAUGAUGCAGCGGCUCGACAUCGAGACAGUUGUUAAAGCUAUGGCGCCUGAAGAUGAGCCUGCGUCUGAUUAGCUAGUUGGCGGGGUAACGGCCCACCAAGGCAACGAUCAGUAGCUGGUCUGAGAGGAUGAUCAGCCACACUGGAACUGAGACACGGUCCAGACUCCUACGGGAGGCAGCAGUAAGGAAUAUUGCUCAAUGGGAGAAAUCCUGAAGCAGCAACGCCGCGUGAGGGACGAAGGGCUUUUGCUUGUAAACCUCUGUAGUGAGAGAAAAAAAUCCCAAUCUUUGGGACAUGAUGGUAUCUCAAAAGUAAGCCCCGGCUAACUACGUG
rnacentral:rRNA from 1 species